ACCUGGUUGAUCCUGCCAGUAAUAUAUGCUUGCGUCAAAGAUUAAGCCAUGCAUGCCUAAGUACAGACUGUAAAAGGUAAAACUGCGGACGGCUCCAUAGAUCAGUAAUUGUUCGUUUGGCGAUUUGAAAGUACUUGGAUAACCCUGUUAAUUGUAGAGCUAAUACAUGCACCGACGACCCGAUUGGUUCGCCGAGAGGGUCGCACUUGUCCAACUUUAUAAGCCCAGGGACGGGCGGGAGUGCGGAGGCCGGGGAGGGCCCAGGUGGGCCGGGCAGAGACAACUGGGGGCAUAAAACUGGGGAGGAAGCGCAAAGCCAACACGGCGAAGACCCUGGUGGAAGCCUCUGGGUUCAAGGCGGGGACGUCUUUCGGGGCGUUCUGCGGCCGAAGAGCAAUUCUGCUUCAGGUUGAUCUGGGUACCCGUCGAUCUGGUUUCUCCUUCUGUUCGUUCCUGGGGAUUGGGUGAAACAGGACAAUUCAAAGCUGAUCGGCCUCUUCAGAGGACGACACGCCAUUCGAAUUUCUGACCUAUCAACUAGAUGGUAGGAUAGAGGCCUACCAUGGUUAUAACGGGUAACGGGGAAUCAGGGCUCGAUUCCGGAGAGGGAGCCUGAGAAACGGCUACCACUUCCAAGGAAGGCAGCAGGCGCGUAAAUUACUCCCUGCCGACACGGCGAGGUAGUGACGACGAAUACCAAGGCCAGCCGCCACACGGUGGCUGGCCAUUGGAAUGAGCAGAAUUUAAAUCCCUCUGCAAGUAACAAUUGGAGGGCAAGUCUGGUGCCAGCAGCCGCGGUAAUUCCAGCUCCAAGAGUGUAUAUUAAAGCUGUUGCGGUUAAAACGCUCGUAGUUGAACUCCUACAUCCGGUCAACAGCCUUUGGAAAGAGGGGGUCGGGAGGGGCUUUGCCUCUUUCGGCCCUACUCGCCGAAGGCUCCGGAGAAGGACAAACCCAUGACUAUCGCCGUUCUCUCUCUCGGACCAUUAAUUUGGCCUGAGAACACACCACCCCGACCGACAAGGAAAGGGGAGGGAACGGUUCUUACGUUUACCUUGAACAAACUAGAGUGAUUCAGGCAGGCGCUUUGCGCCCUUGAAUACGAUUAGCAUGGGAUAAACACAAUCAAAAACACACUGGGUCCGGCCGAGACUGGGCCCGCGUUGGGCAGGGAAGGGAGGUCGUCGAUCUUUCAUUCGGCUCGUCUGUGCAAUAAAUGACUUCGUGGUCCCAAGGGUUCCGUUUGGUUUCCCCGGGAGAGCUCAGAUCUGUCUGUCGAGGCCGGAAGGGGGGCACUGGGUCUUCGGAUCCGGGGUCCACCAGCCGGUCCGGCGGGCAGGAGGGCUUGCCGGCAACGGCAUGCGGAGUCAUGUGCAGGCGAGACGGGUGGAUCCGGCGGCCGACAAAGACUCUUCUCUGUUUGAUCGGGUCAAAGACGGUCGACACGGCUCAGUCGUCCAGGGGGGCAACUCUCUGGGCGUUCCAUACACAAUAGGGACAGCCGGGGUCGUUAAUACUUCCAUGCUAGGGGUGAAAUCCUAUGAUUAUGGAAAGAUUAACUAGUGCGAAAGCAUUCGACAAGGAUGUUUUCAUUAAUCAAGAACGAAAGUUGGGGGAUCGAAGACGAUCAGAUACCGUCGUAGUCUCAACCAUAAACUAUGCCGACCAGAGAUCGGGAGACGCUUUCCGAAGAGGAAGCGAGGCUCCCCCGGCACCUUUGAGAGAAAUCAUUGAGUGUCUGGGCUUCGGGGGGAGUAUGGUCGCAAGGCUGAAACUUAAAGGAAUUGACGGAAGGGCACACCAGAAGUGGAGCCUGCGGCUUAAUUUGACUCAACACGGGGAAACUUACCAGGUCCAGACAGUGGAAGGAUUGACAGAUUGAGAGCUCUUUCUAGAUUCGCUGGGUGGUGGUGCAUGGCCGUUCUUAGUUCGUGGUGUAAAUUGUCUGUGUCAAUUCCGCUAACGAACGAGACCUUAACCUGCUAACUAAUGUUGGGCGGAGGCUUUGGCGAGGGGAGGCGUUGGGGGCAACCCCGGCGAUGAACCUUGUCAAACUCUAGCUAAAAUCCAUUCCCCCGACGGGAGGUCGCAAGGCCUUUCGCAGGAGUGGAACCAACUUCUUAGAGGGACUGUUUGCUCCUAGCGAAUGGAAGUUUGAGGCAAUAACAGGUCUGUGAUGCCCUUCGAUGUCCUGGGCCGCACGCGCGCUACACUGACUGGGGGAACGAGUUUGCGUGCACCCUUUUGGGGCUGGCAGCAAUGUCAGUCUCAGGAGGGAGAAUGCACCAACCCUGGGUUGAAAGGCAUCCCGGGAAAACUUUUGAAACCCAGUCGUGCUGGGGAUAGACCUUUGCAACUAUUGGUCUUAAACGAGGAAUUCCUCGUAAGCGCGGGUCAUCAGCUCGCGUUGAUUACGUCCCUGCCCUUUGUACACACCGCCCGUCGCUCCUACCGAUUGGAUGAUCCGGUGAAGAUGAAGGAUGUGCUUGGCAUCCAUUUCUUGGGGGCUUGCUCUCAAGGAUAAUGCCAUCCAGAAUUCAUCUAAACCUUAUUAUCUAGAGGAAGGAGAAGUCGUAACAAGGUUUCCGUAGGUGAACCUGCRGAAGGAUCA
rnacentral:rRNA from 1 species